AGGCGGUGGAGCUCGGGCUGGCAACCGGCCGCGGGGAGGGGUUUGGAGGCUGGGGGAGCGGGGCAGCGAGACGGGGGGGGGGUCGGCUCGGAGUCCCCCCGCUUCUCCCCGGGCCGCCCGGAGCCGGCCCCGGGCCGGGGGAGCCGCCCGCAGCCCCGCGCCCCGCUCCCCCCGGCUGGGCUGCUCGCUGCCGCACAAAGAGCGCCCUUCUCGCAGACAAAGCAUCCGCCCGAGGUGUCACCGGGGCUGGCCGGCCCUUCGCCCGGCUCCCCGGCUGCCGGUUUGGACAUCACAUACUCCGGGAUGAAGCGCGGGGGAGCUCGGCCGCCGGUCCCGGUGCCGCUCCGGCAGGUUUGGGGGUUCUCGGUGGGGCUGGAGGCGGCGGCAAGCGGCGGGGCCCGGCAGGUGCCUGGCUCCCGGCUCUCGGCUGCCGUCGCCUCCCAAAAAACGCAGCCCCCGGCAGCCCGGCUCCCGGCAGCACAACGGAGUGAGCCUGGGGGCGAGCAGGGCAGCGGUUUGUCCUGCCUUGGCUUGCGCUGCACCGAAAGCCGGUGCCUUGCUCCUGCCGGCGAACGGGGACACGAUUGGGGUGUGUGUCCCCUACCCUCAUCUCCCGCAGUUGUGUUCAUACAAGGAUUCAGCAGCGUGUGGGCUCGCUAGGCAUUUUCCUUCAGCCCCUGCAGGAGACUUGGUGAGAUACGCCGUACCGUGAAAUACCGGUUAGUUACAGGGGCAGAGCAGCUGGAAAAAGGAGAUCCGAGGGCGUCAGCAUUUUGCAGAAGUCCCCGGGUGCUCACCGUGAGCACUGGGACCCGCAGGGAUUGCUCACAGAGGAGCACAUACUCCCCGCAUCCCAGCUCCCCAAGGCUUUCCCUACCACCAGACCCCACCUGCCCACACCACACACUAGGCUGGCAGUCACAGAACGACACGGCUGUGAAACCCACCGCCUACACACAGGCUGCUGAGGGGCCAAAUUCCAUCAGGGCAGUCUCCAGGGAGGUCUCUAGAAAAGGCUUUUUUCCUUGGCUGGCUCAUGCAAAAACACAGAGAACCGCAUUCCCUCUGAGUGCUCAUUGCUAGCAGUGCAGGACGCUAGGUACCGUGUGCCACAGGCACACUCAUUUUGCCUGACUCCGGUGCAGUAUCCAAGUUGAUUUGGUCCCUAAUCUGAAAAAAGAGAUACAGGUAUCUGAUAUGUGCAGCUAAUCGAAGAGCUAUCUCCUCUAAACAGACUGGUUUAAACUAAUUACACGAUGUAGUGCAUGCUGCCACCUACGCCUUCUGAUUCAGGUUUCUGGUGUAUUGCAGCUCUGGAUUCCUAGGCAUCGUUUGCUGAAGGCAGCCAGCAUUUUGUGAGGCUGCACGAGGCACCACAAACACAGGCGGCUGUGGCCGCACCAGGGAGCAAGGCAAAACAUUUCUCACCGGCGCAGACACAUGUUGAGUUGCGGUGAGGAUGCCUCGAGGCUGACCAGGAACCGGCAGUCACACCAGUGAAAUGAAAAGUAGUGGCUGGAGCUACAUGGUGCUGAGGAUCCUGCCAGCACAGCUGUACCACUGACAGCAGCGGAACAUUUUGCUCAAGUUCUCUAGAGGAAUCAAAGCCUGUAUUUUCUGUCUCUGGCCCUCUCUUGUUCUGUUGUUCCAUGCUCUGUAAAAGAAAAGUCAGCCACACGCAGCACAUGGUUGCUCUCUGCGUUUGAAAAAAAAAAAAAAAAAGUGUUUUGGGGAAGAAAACCACAGCCAAUGCUGUUUUGAAGUCAGAAGCAUGUAAACAGUACCUGGAACUAAGUGGAAUAAUAAUAAUAAUUAGUCCUUUUGUGCCAUAAAUAUGUGCAUUGCUGCCUGCUGUUUCAUUAUGAGACAGCACGACUUCUGAAAAUGUGCCUGAUGAAUAUUUGGGGGCACACUGCCUUCAGCUGCAGCGGCGUAUAGCAGCUCAAGUGCCUCUGGCUCCUCCAGCUCUUAUGUAACCAAAAUCACAAGUUAGAGCCCAAAUUACAAAGCAGAAGCAUGUGUAUAAUAUUAAGAAUAUAAGUGGUGCCUUAAAUUGCUAUCCUUUUACUGUAGGUCUGGCUUUAAUCUGUUACUAAUUUUAGUCCUGCAGUUCCAUUGAUUUCGAUGUGUGGUGGUGCCAUUAAUAGCGGAAUCAAGCCUAACCCCUUAAAAACCCACCAUGAGAGCGUUAACCCAAACUUAAGUAAGUCAGGCCAAAAUCGCUGUGGUUACAGGUAGGUGUAGUUCAUAUGACUCGUAUACCAGAUCCAAAACCUAUCCAGUAUUAAGAUAGAGUAGAAAGCCACAAUAUAAUGUUCCCAUGACUGCUUUGCACAUCAGCCAGAGCUGCAGGUUUUUGCACAUUUAGCCAAGGCACAGGUUAGUCUUCCUUUGUGUUCUGCCUCUUUCUGGAGCCCAUAUUCCCCAUUCACACGCUGAUCUGCUUUCUGGAGUUUUAAGGUGUUGGAUGCUGAUACCGUGAGCGCCUCUUGUGUCUGUUUAAUCCAAUAACAUAACUCGUCUUUAAUCUCCACGUCUGGGUCACAGGUUUUAAAAAAGACACUGGGCCAAAUCCCCAGCUUGGCUAUAACGUGUGGAAAUCUACCGAGAAGGCACGGAAGUCAGAAGAGAUUUGCUGUAUCUGCACCCUGCAAAGGAGGUCUCAAGGGGCAGUGAUGUGAGUGCCUAAUUUCGCAGAUGGAUGCGUAUUAACACAAGUCUGCAGCAGAGGUGGAGCAGAUUUCUGUCAGGACAAAAACUUGUUUCUUCUCAACCUGUGCCUGCUGAAGGAAACACACUCAGGACCACAGCAAGGCAAGAACAAGGAGCCAGUUUUGCAGGGGUUGGGAAGAUUUUGCAUAUAAAUAUUAAAAUAAAAAAUCAAAUUUUAUUCCAAAUGCAAAGUCCAGCAGAAAUUUAAGGGGCAAGUGCAGAGCACUGUCUGUAAAGAAGGGCAUAGGUGAGAAUAGCAAAAAGAUGCUCUGAAUAAGCUGACUGCAGUAACAAGUCUCCAAACACAACUUUCCUAUAUAAAGCUAUACAGGGGCAGCCUUUGGGGUUCCCCUGUGUGGGAAAGGACCAUGAGCCUGAGAAGAGGCAGAUUUUGUGAGGGAUUUAAACAUCAUGUAGUGACUCUGGAUUGCAGAUUUUAAGCAUUACUAAAUCAGGGGACAGAACUGUCGCUAUUGCUAUUACGUACCAGGAUAUUUCACUAAUCCGUGCAAUCCACUAAGUUGCUGUAGUUUUAGUCUGUGUUUAUUUUAGAUGAAAUUAUGGCCUGGACAGUUAAUUUUUUGUUAGUUUAUCCAUUUAAAUCAUAUACAAAUAAAAUACCAAACAGAAAUCAAAA